GAUGAACGCUGGCGGCGUGCUUAACACAUGCAAGUCGAACGGGAUCCAAGGGGUGCUUGCACUUUUUGGUGAGGGUGGCGAACGGGUGAGUAACACGUGAGUAACCUGUCCUUUUCUUUGGGAUAAGCAUUCGAAAGGGUGUUUAAUACCUUAUGUUCUGUCUGCCUCGCAUGGGGUGGGUGGGAAAGGCUUUGGCCGGAUUUGGGUGGGCUCGCGGUCUAUCAGCUUGUUGGUGGGGUGAUGGCUUACCAAGGCUUUGACGGGUAGCCGGCCUGAGAGGGUGGUCGGUCACAUUGGGACUGAGAUACGGCCCAGACUCCUGCGGGAGGCAGCAGUGGGGGAUAUUGCACAAUGGGCGAAAGCCUGAUGCAGCGACGCCGCGUGGGGGAUGAAGGCCUUCGGGUUGUAAACUUCUGUUGCUCUGAACAAGGCAUGCCAGUGGGUGUGUUGAGUGUAGGGGUGGAUUAGCGCCGGCUAACUACGUG
rnacentral:rRNA from 1 species